rnacentral:rRNA from 1 species
GACGAACGCUGGCGGCGUGCUUAACACAUGCAAGUCGAACGGAAAGGCCCUGCUUUUGUGGGGUGCUCGAGUGGCGAACGGGUGAGUAACACGUGAGUAACCUGCCCUUGACUUUGGGAUAACUUCAGGAAACUGGGGCUAAUACCGGAUAGGAGCUCCUGCUGCAUGGUGGGGGUUGGAAAGUUUCGGCGGUUGGGGAUGGACUCGCGGCUUAUCAGCUUGUUGGUGGGGUAGUGGCUUACCAAGGCUUUGACGGGUAGCCGGCCUGAGAGGGGGACCGGCCACAUUGGGACGGGGAUGCGGCCCAGACCCCAACGGGAGGCAGCGGUGGGGAAGAUUGCACAAUGGGCGGAAGCCUGAUGCAGCAACGCCGCGUGCGGGAUGACGGCCUUCGGGUUGUAAACCGCUUUCGCCUGUGACGAAGCGUUAGUGACGGUAAUGGGUAAAGAAGCACCGGCUAACUACGUG